GGAGAGGUGCCCGAGUGGCUGAAGGGGCACGCCUGGAAAGCGUGUGUGCGGGUAACCGUACCGAGGGUUCGAAUCCCUCUCUCUCCG
rnacentral:tRNA from 1 species